CACACACACACACACACUCCCUCAGCACACUGUGAUGUCAUCUCCCUAUGUGUGUGUAUAUGUGGAACAAAGUCAGAGAUGUGUUUGACCACGGGCAGGUCCCCACAUGCACCGACUCAGGGAACCGUUUCUGCUAAAAGACGGUUACUCAUUCAUGUAAAAAAAAAAAAAAAACUGUUUUCAAAGACGAGAGCUGAGUGCCUUUGCUAGCUUAGGCAGCCAGACAGGCUGCCUGGGGAGUGCAAGAUGCAGUAACAUACUGCGUGGAAGCGCAGCGUUGCAUUACGCUCAGUCUGUUCAGACCCCAGGCCAGUUAGAAGGUCCACCACGUCCAGCGCUCGCUCGCUGGAUCUCCGCCCGGCUGGUUGGCCCUGCAGCGUGACCAGGAUCUACUCAUGCUUCAUUCAUGUCACCUGUGGGAACUGUGUGAAAAAUGCCAGCCUCCAGCAGCCAGCUCAUCGUGUAGCAUUUGUUUCCUUGGUUCACAAAACAGCGCUUCCUCCUUACAUGAAAAGGUUGUCGAGUAAAUCCAUAACAUUUCUGAUCAGUGCCGUCAACAAAACAGAACAGAAGGUGCAGCAAAAGGGUUCUGGGGGGUCUGGAGAUCUUGGAGAUUAUGCAAGGCAGGGGACAACCCAGGAUGGGGUGUCAAGCCAUUACAGGCCGCCGUCACCUGUGAAGAAUGAAAAAGAGGCUGGGAGAGAGGAACCACAGAUGCCAGAAGAUAAAAAGAAAAACACUCGGAGAAGAGCUGGCUGUUGUCCUCGAUCUGACAGGCAGCACGAAAGGCUGGGAACCUGCCAUUUUACACCAUCGAAACCAGUCAAAGAACCACUGAGGCAAAACGCAAGUAAAGACACAUAAACCAAGGAGCCGCCGUUUGGAUAUCGCGUCAGUUCCCAUUUUUUUCAUUGGUGUCUAUCUCAGACGAGGAAAAUCAAUUAUGCUUUAAUGAGCCUUCCAAUUAGCCCAGGAGCAUUGUGUUAAAUAUAACCCUUUUUGUCAUGAUCCAAUAAGAGGCAGGCUUCCAUUUGACCCUGUCAGCUGGGCAGGAUGAUAAACCCAUUUGUUAUAUUCCACCGAGGGACCUGCUCAGUAAAGACGGAUAGAGAGGCAGCUGUGCCCAGUACACUGGACCUCAGGCUGGCUUGGAAGCCGACAUGUAUGGUGGAACACAAGACAAAGCCACGAGUGAUAGCAGCCAGGGCUAAGGUGGUUCUUAAAGAUCUAGCUCAGCAGAUCACACCUGCAGCCAUAGCAAUGGACCAGGAAACAUUCCUAGCAGAACAUGGUUCACUGGCCGUCCACUGCUGGUCCCUAUUAGCAGUAUCCUCUAACUACACCAGCACCCCUCUAAUUACUUCCAUGCACCUUUGAAGUUCCGCUCCCCCACAGCCCCAGCCUGCUUGGCACAUACCUCAGGAGGCUACGGGGUUCGCAGGGAUUAGCUGCUAACUCUCACCUUCCAGGUGUGUUUAGCCCAACCGAAACUGAACCGACACCAGCAAGCAGGAACAAGAGUCACUGCUGAUUGUUUUCAUUUCAGGGGCCACCAGAAAUGUUAGGUGACGGGCCUCCAUAAAGGGCCACUGGAAAGGUCACCUUGAGAGUAACUUGGGGGGUCUCCUUGAAUGUCACGUGCAGACUCUUCCUGAAGGAUCAGCUCUUCCUACUUCAUCCAGACACCAACCACAUGGGCCAGAUGGCAGUGGGUUGCAAAAUGAGGACAAUCUCAUUAAGUCUGAGUAAUGAAGCACAGUCAGGCUUAUCCGGAGAGAAAUGGCAAAAGGUUUGCUUUGAAUCAGUUUUAAUUAGAAGAGAAGAAGCUGCCCUUUGACAGAGGCAGGCGUUGCGUAAUGGACAUUGUCGCAUGAUGGUGUGAGACCCUGACCUUGAGCAUCACCCCCACCAUGUGCCCGUUGAGCCAAAACAUUCUUCCUGUUUGCCUUGGAAAAGUACAAGCUGCUCGGAACACGCGGCUGGUCAAGGUGACUUUGAAGGACAUACCUGUUCGUAAGGUGAACAUCUCAGCUGGGUGCCCGUGGACGUUCUGUGAAUCCACGAGCGCGUGACGGUCUGCAGUGUGGCCGCUCUCCUGUGGACGCCUGACUACUCCAGACAUAGAAGAAAAAGACCAUUUCGAAAAGAUGAAAAGACCAUUCUAACAACCAGCCGAUGCCCCCACAGACAGAAAGCCCAUGAAAAGUGAGAGUGUGUGUGUCACCUUGUAUGUGAACCACUCCUUCAUGCACAAAAAAUGCAAGGUGAAUGCUAUCAGGUGCUACCCAUUAGCCAUGCCACUUCACGCUCCUUUACACCUCCCCCGCACCUCUCUCUGUGCCUGUCCCAGGGGGGGGCCACAGACACCAAGCAAGGGAUAAGAGGCAGAACUGUAGAACCAGACAGGGGGUGAAUCAGGGGCCCGAAGCUGCCAGAUUGUGCUCCCAGACUGCCACAGUGCAGGGGGCAGCAAAAUUUGAUCCCUGACUCUCAGGAACGGUAUGCUCCAACAAUCCAGAGAUGCAAAGCUACCCGAGAAAGACGGGGGAGAAAGUACCUGUGUGUAUCCUGAUUCCUGAUUCCUGAUUAUGCAUGCUGAGCACUAAGAAGUACUUCAGCUAUACAAUUACUGCCCUUCCACAUGAACAGGAAUUGGAGGGGAACAGCUCACAAUGUAUUUAGAUGUUUAAAUGUGAGGUGCUGUGAUGCAGAGGAAGGGUUGAUGCAAAGCAGAAGGCCCAAUUAGUCAGGCUCCGCCCCUAAUCACUGCAGAAAUCGUAAGCCACACCCCCAUGCCACACCCACAAACCCUUCAGACUCUUUCGCUCCCGUGAUGUUUCAAUGGAAAUUCCUGUGAUGUCAUUGCUGCCCAGCCAUGGGGGGCUGGUUCAGGUAUAAUCACUGGGCCCUCAAUCCAGACCUCUUCUAUUAUGGUACAAAUGAUUUAGAAUCGCUGUAAAUGUUACCCCCCCAUAUUGGCACUCCUGGGUAUCAGUGCUGUCAGCUGGCCAAGCCCCCCCCCCCGUCUUCCCUCUGUCCUCAGUCCACCGACUUAGGAGGAAGAUGAGAAAGUGCUGGUCAUGCAUUUUCAUGAAACACUCAUGGGUGAUGAUGAUGAUGGUGAUGAUGAUUAUUAUUAUCAUUGUAACCCUUUUUUUAGUCCCCUAAUUACUAAGUAAUUACCUGGUACGUAUAUGGUAAAUUAUAAUAUAUUAUUGGUUAAUUACCACAGGUAAUAAGUAGGUAAACACAGAGAAACUACAGCUGAAAAACGUAGACAAAUCUCCACUAUUACCCUCUAACUGCAAUACCAUGGAAACAGACAAGGCUUCCUUUUACAGUACAGUGUCAGCUUAGCUGCUGAGUACAUUGCCAUUUUGUACGUAGUAACAUUGCAGAACAUACGUUGCACAAGUUCGUGUUGACUGCAUGGGAAAGGGAAAAGCUAUUACAAAAUAUAUGGUAAGAUCCUGGUAAUACCAUGGAAACAGACAAGGCUUCCUUUUACAGUACAGUGUCAGCUUCCAUGCAGAGUAAAUUGUACAAACAUCUGCAAGAAUGUACCCAGCAUUUAAGAAGACGUAGCAUGACGCUAGAGGAACACAGCGCCUGCCGGGACGUCUUACAAGGAAAGUAUACGGUAAAAUUGAAUAAACUCUUUAUAAAUGGGUGCAGCCAUGAGCAAUAACUAUGUAAGAAAAAUAAAUUGGAAUCUUAAUUUCUUCAUCGCUGAGUUA